GUCAGCAGCACUGGGUCAGCCGGUGAACGGGUGUGCAGCGUCCUCAGCGCCGCAGCAGUCAGCACCUGUGGGUGCUCUAGCUCUUUCCCUCGGGGUCACCGGAGGCAGAGCCUCCCCUACGCGGAGUAGAGGAGCAGCUCACAUGGCAGCCGCCACAGAGGACACCAGAUCAUGCCAACACCCCCACAACUCCUGCCCGCCUGCAGGCAGCUCUGGGCUCAGGACACCGCCUGCAAGAACCUUUAUAGCGCAGCUCUCCAAACCUUGGAGGCGAGGACAUUCUAUGUGCCCGCCCUGGAAAGGCCUGAACCUAUAACAUCUGGGCUGUGAUGGUUUCUGAGGUGGACACCAGGACCAACACUUGUCAGCAUGGCACAAUCAGGCAUUUCUCUUCUAAGUAGGAUGUGCAGCCAAAAACUCAGCUGUCUGUGAGCUGUCUUCUCCCAGGAACGAGGACAUAAGAUGUACAUCAGGUUUUGAUAUUAGAGUAAUACUGGCCUUAUAGAAUGAGUUACGAAAAGUUGCCCCUUUCUCCACUUUCUGAAAGAGUUUGUGUAACACAGGUCUGAACUGCACAGAUCCACUUACAUGUGGAUUUUCUUCCACUGCGGCCUCUCCUGAGACAGCAAGACCAACCCCUCCUUUUCAUCCUCCUCCUCCUCCUCAGCCUACUCAACAUGAAAAUGACAAGGAUGAAACCUUUAUGAUGAUCCACUCAUCCAUUUUCUUUUCUCUAGCUUAUUGUGAACAUCUUAGGCUAGUGUGUCGACUUCUGACUUGGCUCAUCUGAACCCAAGUCCUUGGACACAUUCACAAACACCCCAGGGUCUUGGGCUUCCAGUUUGUGCUAGAAGGACAAAGGGCAGGUGAAGCUUGUUUGCCGUAACUAGAAGGAGCAGAAACUGCUCCCAGCAGAACAAGAUCAAAUCAUGGGGAACAGUGGUCACCUGCCAUUUCUAGAGGAAGCUUUUGCUUUUGGUCACUGAGGACCCUAAGUCUUACAUGAGAAGAAAACAAAUAGGGUGAUGCUGCAUGCUUCUGUCCCCAAAGAAUCCCUGUGCAGGUGCCGAGGGUGCCCCAAAGACGAGGCUGUGCUUGCCGUGCCCACCACAGAAGCACAUUUGACCUGAUCAAAAGCAGGUGGAAAAGGUCCUGAAGCACAGAUAUUUUCUCAGUGAUGUUGUUUUCUCCAAAAUGAAAGAGGGAAGGUACCCUGGCUUAGGCCCCUGGUGUUCUGAUUGAAGGUGAGAAUGGAAGUAUCUUCUUCAACAUGUUCUCCCAUCUGACUGCAACAAGUGUGCUCCAGCCACCAGUGUCCCAGUUGCUCUGAAUGAUGGUGAGAAGGGUACCCAAACACUUGAAUGGUACUGUACCCUCUACUUGCCAUCUGAAUCCUCACUUGUGGAACCCAGGCACUCUGGCUGUAUUCGCGAGUAAGCAUAGGUGUGGGACUGUGUCCUGCCAUUGCACCAUCUUUAAUCUGGACUUGUGGACCUCAGGCUCUCUGACUAUUCAUGGACAGAAGUUUCUGCAGGCACAGGUGGGGUGCUGUUUCCUCCCAUUGUACACCUGAAUUCAGGACUUGUGGACCCCAGGUGUUCUGGCUGUGUUCAUGAACAGAAGUGUCCCCCCCAAACAAACCCAUAUAUGGUGCCAUCUCCUCCCAUUACAGGUAUGGUGCCAUCUCCUCCCAUUGCAGGCAUUGCACUGCCUAUACUCUGGACUUAUGGCCCUCACAUGCUCUGAUUGUAUUCAUAAACAGUAGUUUCUUCAGUCACAGAUAUGGCACCAGCCCCUCCAACAGAAACAGAUGUGCUCAAGCUGAGUGGUCCAAAGGCGUUUGACAGAAGUCAUGAACAGAAGUAUCUUGGGGCACAUGUUUCUUCUCUGUUGUGCAGGCUUCUCCAGCAGUAACAGGUUUGCCCAGGCCAUAUGGGCCCCAAGCGCUCUGACCAGACACAAGAAGAGAAGACUUGCAGUCACAGGUAGUGUGUUGUCCCCUGCUACUGCAACAUAGGUGCUUGGAAAGGUGCAACAGGGUGCUCUGCUUGUGGUGGAAACAUAAAGGCCUCCAAGCAUAAAAAAAAAAA
rnacentral:lncRNA from 1 species